rnacentral:rRNA from 1 species
ACGGGUGAGUAACGCGUAGGAAUCUGCCUUGAAGAGGGGGACAACUAGAGGAAACUCUAGCUAAUACCGCAUAAUAUCGAGAGAUCAAAGUUACCCGCAAGGGUGAUACUUCAAGAGGAGCCUGCGUCCGAUUAGCUAGUUGGUAGGGUAAAAGCCUACCAAGGCGAUGAUCGGUAACUGGUCUGAGAGGACGACCAGUCACACUGUGACUGAGACACGGCCCAGACUCCUACGGGAGGCAGCAGUGGGGAAUAUUGGACAAUGGGGGCAACCCUGAUCCAGCAAUGCCGCGUGUGUGAAGAAGGCCUUCGGGUUGUAAAGCACUUUAGUGUGGGAAGAAGGAUUAUUGUUUAAGAGAUGAUAAUUUUGACGGUACCACAAGAAUAAGCACCGGCUAACUCUGUGCCAGCAGCCGCGGUAAUACAGAGGGUGCAAGCGUUAAUCGGAGUUACUGGGCGUAAAGGGCGCGUAGGUGGUUAUAUAAGUUGUUUGUGAAAUCCCCGGGCUUAACCUGGGAACUGCAAGCAAUACUGUGUAACUAGAGUACUGUAGAGGGUAGUGGAAUUUCCGGU